rnacentral:rRNA from 1 species
AUACGGAGGGUGCAAGCGUUACUCGGAAUCACUGGGCGUAAAGCGCGCGCAGGCGGGCUGAUAAGUUGGAUGUGAAAGCCUACGGCCCAACCGUAGAACUGCAUCCAAAACUGUCAGUCUCGAGUCUGGGAGGGGAAGAUGGAAUUAGUUGUGUAGGGGUAAAAUCCGUAGAGAUAACUAGGAAUACCAAAAGCGAAGGCGAUCUUCUGGAACAGUACUGACGCUGAGGCGCGAAAGCGUGGGGAGCAAACAGGAUUAGAAACCCUAGUAGUCC